rnacentral:rRNA from 1 species
ACAUGCCUACAACAUAGUGUUAAUGCACAGGAUCCCAUUAGAACUCUUCAGUUAAGCGUGCUCAGGAUAGAGUAGUACUGGGAUGGGUGACCGCUCGGUGAGUCCUAGUGUUUUACAUGCU